rnacentral:lncRNA from 1 species
AUACACAUUGAGACGCUGUCCCAUCUCCUGGAUGAGGUUGGCCGCCUGCUGGCGGCACGAGAGCUCUUUAUCCGCCUCCACUCCGCAGCGGCGGCUCGGCGUGUUCUCCAGCUGUUCCCGAGUAAAGAACCAGCGAGAAGAAGCUCCACGGCCCGACGCCAUGACACUUCCUCCUCCGCCCGCUCCUUCAUUCACCCCCCGCCCCUCCUGGCUCGCGGACUCCCCGCCAAGGCGCGCGACCCCGCCCCACUCCGCUCGCCGUAGACCACGCACCACCCUUUUUCACCACCGCCUCCGCCCUUGCGCAUGCGCGGGGCCCGCUCUACCGACUCGCCCUAGUCUUUUGCUUUCUUUUUCUGCCCUCGGCCUCGCUCUUGCGCACGGGACCACAAUGCUCCGCGCCGCUUGUCAUUGGGAGGCGCCGAAGGUGGAGAGGUCGGCUCGGAAGGAAAAGCAAUCACAGGAAUAUAUAAAACAUGAGCAGAAAGAGGCCUUUGGAGAAAUCUGGACCAGCAUUCUCAUUUUACGGAUGAGGGACCACGGCCCAUGGAGGUUUCCAUAGAUGAUUGGAAAAACCCAAGAGUUGGUCCUCUGUUCCAGACCCCACACAGACACAAACCUACAAGCCAAGGGAGCCAGUAUUUGGCCAUUCGUCCAUCCAUCUGCAUGUCCCAGGGAUGCACGAACAGGGAACACUUCAGCCUUUCGGCUGCCUUCAAAGAAGCAAUGAGAGAGAGAGAGAGGGUUACUUUGAUGAGUGAGCAGAUACCAGAACAUGGUUUCCUUAUUCCCUGGGCAAGCCUCCCUGCCUGCUUUAAGA